rnacentral:lncRNA from 1 species
GAGAAAAUAGUGUACUGUAUUUUGCUGCAGAGGUUCUUUGAGGAGCUUAGAGGGAAGAUUUUGAAGCCAAUCAAAGUAAGUCCUAAUUUAGAAAAGCCAUAUGUUUUUUGCUAUCUUCGUGUUCUUUGUUGUCAUAAGGCAUGCUUUGAAUCACAGUUAUUAAAUUCAGUUGAUCUGGCGGGUCACUUUAUAGCCUGACUAGGCUUGAGCUUGGUUUUUUUUUAACCAAGGUGGAUGUUCAUCUGAUUAAAUCUGAAUGACUCAGCAAUUUAACCUAUGUUUUGUUUGAUUUUAUCAAUGUUUUGAUUGAUUUUAUCAAACCCGGUCAAUUCCAAGUUUUUUUUUUAAUUUUUAUCAAGAAUAAUAUUGUUUUAUUAAAAAAAAUACUAAAAAUAACGUGGUUUUGGGUUGACCCAUCUAACCUGCUAUCCAAGCUUUGGACUGGGUUGGACCGAGGCCUCUUCUAAUAACUUUGGUUUGAAAUGAAAGUUCAAUAAGAUCUCCGCUUUCUGUAGUUAUUUGAGACUCUUUUGUGUGAGAAUUCAUAGAAUAUUCAUCUGCUCUUUACAUUUAUGUUUGUAUUUGUUUGAGUAUUAGUAACAUCGAAUAAUUGUUGAGUCUGAUAGCUAGAUAUAAUCCUGGUUCAUUCACAGGAUUAAGACUGCCGAAAAAUCAAGUGAGAAAAAUGAGAAGGGAGAUCAUGUUUUUCUAGAUAUUGACAAGUUAGCAGCAAAUAUGAGAAAGGAUUUGGAAAACUUAAGUCCUUUAUCUAAAGAGUGUUGUAUCUAUAAAGUUCCCAGGCGACUGCGCGUGUUAAACGAAAAGGCCUACGCACCUCAAGUAGUCUCCAUUGAUCCAUUUCAUCGUGACAAAAAGGAGCUCCAAGAAAUGGAAGAACAUAAAAGAAUGUACCUGCAAGAUUUUCUUAAAUGGAGCAAUAUGCAAGAUUGGAGGACUUUAUUGAACUCAUUGGCGAUAGUGAGGCAACACUGCGUAAUUGUUAUGCCGAAACCUUUGAAGAUAUUAGCAGUGAAGAAUUUGUGAAAAUGAUCUUAGUAGAUGCUGCCUUCGUCAUUAUGUGUUGGGAUUUGCCAUUAAUGGGCAACCUACCCUAAGAAGUAGGGUUACCAUUUGUCAAUGGUAGUUGCACCCACCAUUGACAAAUGUAUCAACCCAUGUGCAACCAUUGUUGAGAAAACACCAUUGUUGCCUAUAAAAGGGCACCGGGAGUGAGAGCAAAAUGAGAGAGAGAGGGUUGUAGAGAACAAGAGAGAGAUACGUGAGGAGAGAAAGAGGGAGUAGCUGCCCAGGGCAGCAACCCCUGCUGCCUUUGUGCAGCAGUGUGUGAAGAGCAAUGGGGAGUUUGAGUUUGAGUGAAGUGAGCCCUCCUCCCUCCCAUGUGUGUGGAACCCUUUCUCUAUCUAUCUCUAAUAAUAUUGACUCUCCCGGGGGAUGUAGGCGGUUUUGCCGAACCACGUAAAAUAUUGUGUCUCAGUGUGCUUUACCCUCCUUUGAGCAACUAUCAGUACACCACCAGUCCGCGCAUGGGGGAGACGGAAUCCCCAACAAUUGGUAUCAGAGCACAUGGUUUAAAGGGGUGUUUGUUUUUUGCUCAAAAAUGAAAGUUCUCAAAAUGGUGUUUUGACCAUACCACUGUGUAGAGGAGAAAGAGACGAAGCCACUGGUGAAAAUGGCGUCGAAAUCAGACGUCGGAAUAGUCCUCACGCGCCGUCACGCGCCGGCAAGGUUGCUGGCCACGCGCACAGACGCGCGCCACGCGUUGCACGCGUCAUCUCCACUCGGAUAAGCUGACUUGACCCGAAUACCAGUCGACCCGACCCACGUGCCAGACCCGGAUAAGGAUGACGUAAUCAUGACGCCAGCAUACACGGUCAGCGUCCAGUCAGCAGACACGUCAUCGUCCAGUCAGCAGCCACGUCAGCAAAGUGGGACCCACAUGAAACGGUUGAAGACUAGCAGGAUGACGACACAAGGGAAUAGUUUGUAAUGAAACGGUUGAAGACUAGCAGGAUGACGGCACAAGGGAACAGUUGGGUUCCGUAUGUUCAAGGAUCUGAUGGAGUGAUGAUUUCUCCAAAGAAGUUAGAUUCAGUAACUGUGAUUUCUCGAGGGGAGAAUUGAUGAAGACCCUGAUAAUAGAAGAGAAAUACAGCAAAGGGAUAAAGAUUGACACCCUAUUUUGACUUGGACAGGUGUUGUGACAGGAUGAGCUGCUGUCAAACAUAAGCAAGGAAUAUGGAGAAAUCUGGAGAACAGAAAUUGCACGAGGGCACACGGAGAUUGUGCAGGAGUACCCGUAGGAUCCAACGAGGUACUAUAAUGAGACAACAGGUGCAAGGAGAAGAAGUGUUCCCAGAUGAAGCUUAGAGCAGAGACUGUUAAAGUUUGUACAACAGGAAGUCUCUUAUGCUCUUGAUGAAGACAACAAUCGGCGAAGACCUUUCCAAUGCAUGCAAGGAUGGAAAGAGAGCUGUUGUGGAGGCACCUAAUUGAGGGGGUGCAAAUGCUUGUGAUACAAGGCAACCACCUAUGAUGAAAGGCGAAGACACUAAAAAGAGUUGGUGUAGGUGGAGCUGUCAAGCAGAAAGACACAAAAGCUCCAAACAUAGAAAUCGAGGUGGAGGAUUGCGAGGAGUAUACCGCAAGUUUCUCUUUCUAUGUAAUCAGUGGCAGUGAUCUCCCAUAGUGCACAUGGUGGUAGAGAACUUUGGAGCCACUUUGAAGCAUCUCAAUUAAAAAAGGAUGCGACCGCCUAUGAAAGGCGAAAACACCUUAGAGAGAAGGUGUGAAGGCCGUGAUAGGAGCCCCAGUUCAGACCGCCUUAUGAAAACAGGCGAAGACACCUUAGAGAAGGUGUGAGGGCCAUGAUAGGAGCCCCAAUUCAGACUGCCGUAUGACGACAAGCGGAGACACCUAAGGAGAAGGUGUGUGGGCCAUGAUAUGAGCCCAGUUCAGAACAACCCCAGAGCCAAUGUGAUGGCUGGAUAUGAGUGGACAUGUGUAUAGCCAAUGAAGUGGCUAUGAUGAGUAUGAAGACAAAUGCAAGAUUGACUUUCAUGGAUAUUGCCCCCAUGCUAAAGAUCAAUGAGCUAGAAGACAUUUGCCUUGGACAAUAAGUGUGUGACUUGUGGAGCAUUAAGACGCGGCUGCUAUGAAGGAGCAGAGGGCAUGCGCAGGUUCCGGGAACAAGUUGACUCUUGUCAAGGUGGUGAGCUCGGUCAAGGCAUUGUAAUACUCAGUAUCAAGACAUAUAUGGAUCAACCUUUAAUGGGUUGCCCCCAUAGGUGAAGGUGGAGAGCUACCUGGACUCUUGAGACUAAGAGCGAGAGACUCACGGAGAAGUAAAGCGUGGUUCCUAGGGUGGAACAGAGGGCAGACGCAACUCCUGGAUGAGUAGACUCUUGGAAGAGUGGUGAGCUCGUGAUCAUAUUGAGAUACUCAAAUAAUGACUGUCGCACUUGGAAAUAGAAAUUUAUGUUUGAGGGGGUGUUGUAAGCCUUGGUGUGAGGCUUGAUGAAUCAUUUCGGACCGAGCAUGGUUGAUACGCUCGAAGGGGAAUGCAGUGUGUCCCAGAGACAAGCGUUAACACUCUUCAGAUGUGAAGUGACAGACCAUCUGGUUGUAGUGAUCCUUUUAUGUGAGAAAAGGUGUGCUUUGGUAACUCUGGUGAUUGAAAGGUUUGGCGAGUACCUGUAAACUCAGCCACAGAUGCUCUCAGAAUGGUAAGCUUGGAAAAGCUGCAAGAUGCAAGCCUGUGCUGAAGAAGCAAGAGGACAAUUGCCCCACAUGAAUGGCAAAGGGGGUGAUUGUUGGGAUUUGCCAUUAAUGGGCAACCUACCCUAAGAAGUAGGGUUACCAUUUGUUAAUGGUAGUUGCACCCAUUGUUGGGGAUUCCGUCUCCCCAUGCGCGUACCGGUGGUGUACUGAUAGUUGCUCAAGGGAGGGUAAGCACACUGAGACAAUAUUUUACGUGGUUUGGCAAACCACCUACAUCCACGGGAGAGGUUCAUUUUAUUAGAGAUAGAGAAAGGAUAUAAUAAAUACACGGAGGAGGAGGAUUACAUCCACUCUACUCUACUCCCAGCUCUCACACACAGCUGUUGCAGCUGCUGCAAUGGCAGUAAGGCUGCUGUCAUUGCAGCUCUCUCUUUCUCUCUAUUCUCACGUUCUCACUCUCUGCACUCUCACAAUUAUCUCAUUUUGCUCUCAACAAAUAUGCCUCAUUUAUAGGCAUUUCAUGGUCAACAUGGAGGGGCCAAUAAUGCCUUAAAGCAUGCCACCAUUUUAUGGCAUUAAUGGAGCAACCACUUGCUUAGUGGUGGGGUAUUGCCACUAAAUGGCAAUAUCCUAACAGUAGCUGCCAAGGGCAGCAACCCUGCUGCCUUGUGCAGCAGUGUGUGAGAGCAAUGAGAGUUGAGUUUGAGUGAAGUGAGCCUUCUCCUCCAUGUGUGUUGUAACCCUUUCUCUAUCUAUCUCUAAUAAUAUUGACUCUUCCGUGGAUGUAGGCGGUUUUGCCGAACCACGUAAAAUAUUGUAUCUCAGUGUGCUUUACCCUAUUUUGAGCAACUAUCAGUACACCACCAGUCCGCGCAUGGGGGAGACCGAAUCCCCAACAUUAUGGUCAUACUGAAACGACGCUUCAGUGCUUUCUGAGGCAGGGACGACCGUAUCUUCUCUCGUCCAUGGAUGAUAGGUGAAGUAGGGAUAGAUCUGUGCAUGCUUGAAAACCAGCUCCCAUUCUUCAUUCUCCAGGACUUGCUUAAGCUAUCCAAGAUAUUCAAUCCUCACAAGGAAAGUUUGUUAAUUAUGCUUGUCCAUGAGUUCUUAAGAGGUGUGUGGGUUUCAUGGGCGACAGAAGAUUAUGUGGAGAUACUUAGUUCUUCAAAAAUAGAACAUUUUGUUGACUUCCUAAGAAUUUAUCAGCAACCAACAAGGCCACACCGGCCAACGAUACUCAAACGCCUAACAACAAGAACUGCGAAGACGCUGCAUCAAGCUGGUGUCCAAUUUCAGUUGGACUGCCAUCUCUAGUCCAUUAGAAAGCUGGCUGGAGUAGACUAGGCCUUGACCAACUGAGAAUAUUUGAGCUUAACUUCUGUGCUUGGUGAAGCAGAUGGGCACGAGCUCAAGGCUGAACAAAUCUUUCAGCAGGCUUUUAUGAGAGAGAAAAAAAAAGCCUGGCCCAAAUUAAUAGUAACAUUUUGUUUUUUGUUUUAAACUUUUUAUUUUCUUUGUCUUUGAUUCAUCUACUCUUAACUAAUCAUAAAAAGUAAUGCAAUAUUAUUUUUGUUUUAAUUUUCAAUCCUUGGUUAAUUAGUAUUUAUAUUUUCUUAAUUUUCAAUUCCUUUUCUUGUCAAUACUUGAAAAUCCUCAGCAAAAAUAUACAUAUUUCCUAAUAUAGUAACAAACUAGAUCAUUGAACCGCACUACAUUGCAAGUCGGGUCAAAUUUUUUUGAACAAAAAAAAUGACAUGAUUUAACCUAAAUUAAAAUGACAAAACUUGCAACUUUGAUCGUGGGAUCAAGAUACCCCUAUAGAAAACAAAUUAAAACAAAUUAUGAAAACUUAAUUAUCAACUGACUUAGUGUUGAAUGAUGAAAUUAAAAAAAAUAAAUUAAAAAGGACUUAAAAAACCUGAGUCAACUUGUGUUAACCCAUUAAACACUAUUCCUAAGUAAUGAGGCCAAAAUAACAUAAUAUAAAGUAAAAAAAAAAAUUAUGAAGUCUAAUUCUCAAUUAACCCAAUAUUAAAUGAUGAAAUUAAAAAAAAUUAAAAAAAAUACUGAGUGAAUCAGAUUAAUCCGCCAAACCUAUAAUUUAUGUCAUGAGAGUAUAAUAACUCAAUAAAAAAACAAAUCUAUUAUUAAAUAAAAAAAUAAUUGAAAAAAAUCAUAGAAAAAAAAGUACAACACUAAAAUAAAUAAUGGGAUAAAGUAGAAUCCUUUCAUUAAUUUAGUUUAUAGUUGAUAAUAUUUUCUAUUGAAUCCAGGUUUUUCCUGUGCAUAUGACGGCUAAGUUGACGAAGGUUAUUCUUAUAAUGAUUCCCUCUUUUUGUAACUCCUAAAAAUUUGACAUUUUCAGUUUUAAAUUAGUUUCUUUUUUAAAUAAUUUCGUAGUGCAUGUACUGGAUAAAGAUCCACUCAACGAGUAAAAUAUGUAACUGAUCUUUACACUCACUGUGCUUGAUGGAGGGUUCAAGAAUGGUAUAGGAUCUCUCUCCAACGGACAAGGAUUCUUUAUACUCACCAUGCUUGAAGGAGGGUUCAGAAUGGUAUGUGAUCUUUUCUCCAAUAAACAAGAAUUUUUUAUGUCGAUCAUGUUCCAAAUUAUUACUUUUUUGUUUGUUUGUUCUAAUAUGUUACUGCAGGAUAAACAAGAAGUGGAAGAAACCAACAUGGAUUAGUUACUGAAGGAAAUACAUUUCAGAAGAGGAAAUCACAGAGCACACUGUUUAUUUAC